rnacentral:rRNA from 1 species
GAUGAACGCUAGCUACAGGCUUAACACAUGCAAGUCGAGGGGCAUCAGGAAGAAAGCUUGCUUUCUUUGCUGGCGACCGGCGCACGGGUGAGUAACACGUAUCCAACCUGCCCUUUACUCGGGGAUAGCCUUUCGAAAGAAAGAUUAAUACCCGAAUGGCAUAAUGAUUCCGCAUGGUUUCAUUAUUAAAGGAUUCCGGUAAAGGAUGGGGAUGCGUUCCAUUAGGUUGUUGGUGAGGUAACGGCCCACCAAGCCUUCGAUGGAUAGGGGUUCUGAGAGGAAGGUCCCCCACACUUGGAACUGAGACACGGUCCAA